rnacentral:rRNA from 1 species
GAUGAACGCUAGCGGCGGGCCUAAUACAUGCAAGUCGAACGGGAAAGGUGGCAACACCUUGAGAGUGGCGUACGGGUGCGUAACGCGUAUACAACCUGCCUGUUACACGGGGAUAGCCUUGCGAAAGCGAGAUUAAUACCCGAUGGUACUAUUGAGCGGCAUCGCUUGGUAGUUAAAGCUGAGGCGGUAACAGAGGGGUAUGCGUCCCAUUAGCUAGUUGGUAGUGUAACGGACUACCAAGGCGACGAUGGGUAGGGGUUCUGAGAGGAUGAUCCCCCACACUGGUACUGAGAUACGGACCAGACUCCUACGGGAGGCAGCAGUAGGGAAUAUUGGGCAAUGGACGGAAGUCUGACCCAGCCACGCCGCGUGCAGGAAGAAGGUCCUCUGGAUUGUAAACUGCUUUUCUUGGGGAAGAAAACCCUUCUGCGGAAGGAAUUGACGGUACUCAAGGAAUAAGCAUCGGCUAACUCCGUG